UGAAAAACGAGAAUUAGGUGUCCAUGAAGGAAAAAAGAUCAAAAAUAAAGGAAAAAGUUGUAAAUAAGGAAACAAAUCAAAUUGGAAGAAGGAAUCUCGCCACAGCUUUGACAGUGUCCACGAUUUCGAGCAUAUCUCUCUCAUACGAACUCCGAAUUAGGUGAUUUUGGCGGCAUUGGAAAGCUAAUUUCAAGGGCUACAAUUCUUAUUUACACAAUAUUCCAAAAUUCGGACUCCAACAUGGCGAAAAUCGAAUAACAAGUCCUGAUAGGGGGAAAGUGGCGGAAAUUGAUUCCUAUUAGGUUUCUACUACUUCCUUAUCAAGAAAAGCCUAUAAAAGCAACAUGUCUCUACACCAUAAGCACAAAAUUUUACACCACAAAACACGAAGAACGAAGAUCAACAUAGACUCAAGCAUAGUUUUUCUUAUUUCUUUUAUUUUUAUUUUGUUUAUCAUAAGAAUUACGAGUAGCCAAGUUUUUAUUCUAGGAUUUUAUUGGAACCCUAUGUGGUAAUUCGAACCUAUUUUUCUACUUUUAUGCAAGUUUAAUUCUUCGAUUAUUUCUUCUAUCUUGAUCUUAUUUAGUGCAUGAGCGUAGCUAACUUAUGUUGCUAUUUGUUAUUGUUAGAAUUGAUUGACAGAUCGUUUUAAUAAUUAGAACAGGGAUAGAAGAGCCUUUGAGUAGUUUUCACCGGAUGAGUGUGUUAAUUGCAUGUAUUAUCGUAGACAUAUAGAUAAUACCUUAGGUAGCCGUUUACGAGACUUGUUAUUUAAUGCUUUAUUUAUACUAGGUUUGCAUAGACAUAUAGUGAAUCUUUUAUGAAUAAUAGACUUAUAAUACAGCGACAGCUGGUUAUGAGUAAUUUCGUGUCUUGGGUUAAUAAUCUGGAAUCGUAACUUGCAUGAUAGGAGGUUAAUUGGGUGAAGAAUUAUCGCAUAGGGGGAAGAUAAAAUCCUAGAUCCGUUUUAUAUUGAUAUUUUAUCUUGUUUAAUUGCUUUCUUAAUUAGUUUAAUUUAUUUAGUUAAUUAAUUUGACAAACUUGCGUAGGCUGGAUAAAAAUCGUAAUUGUUAAAAUUUGGUACUUAGGAUUAAAUAAUUUGCGUAUUCCCUGUGGGAUCGACAUCCGACUCUCACGAGUCUACUUUACUACUUGUUUGCGAUACGUGCACUUGCGUGUGGGUAUUUAGAUUGCACCCAACAAGUUUUUGGCGCCGUUGCCGGGGAAUACGGCUAAAUUAUUUAUUUAUUCUAAUAUCAAAUUUGAGCAAUUUUUCUUACUUUAGCCAUUUAAUUUUAAUUUUUAUUUUUAUUUUUAAUUUUGAUUUUUUGUUUUUUUUUUUUACAUGUCUGGUUACAAUGUUGGGGCACCUCAAACGGGAUACGAAUGGCUUCCAUCUGACGAAUACCUCCAAAACACCUAUGAUAUGCCUCCGUUUUGUUCAGCAUGUGGUGGAAAUCAUUAUUCCAAUCAAUGUUGGGGAUCACCAAAAGAGACAAAUUUCGUCGAAAUUACCAACAGAGAUUAUGGGAACACCUACACCAACACAUACGAGCAAAGCUUUCAAGACCAAGAUUUGAACGAGUUUCAACAUAGAGAGCCACAAUUUGAUGAUUUCCAAAAUUAUUAUCCAAUGCAGCAGCAGCAGACCACUGAUGAACAAGUUGAUUUGGUAUCCCUCAUUGCCGAAUUCAUGAAGUCCACUCAAGCAUCAUUUCAAAACAUGGAGAUACAACUGGAAGAGAUGACGCUCAAAUUAAAAUCUGAAUCUCUUGAAAAUAUUCCAGACGAAAUCGGUAAUGGUUAUAUCAAAGAAAAUUCGGGUGAAGCAUGCAGUGAGAAAAAUCUUCUAUGUCCGGAAAAUAGUGUCGAUGUGAAAGAAAUCGAAAUUACGAAGACACUUCAGCAUGAUGAAUCUGAGAAGGCAAUCGAGCUAAACCACGAAGAUGCCUCAGAACAAGAGAAGAAUGAGAUGGAUGUAAUGAUUGAAGAUAUUCUAGUUGUGGACUCCGUCGUUGAUCUAAAUGUGGAUUUGAAGGCAUCAAUAGUGGCUGAUGAGAAGACUAAUAUUUUUGAGGUGGAGGUUAUACGCACACUUGAGGUUUUUGUGUACCGAUUUGAGGGAGCGGGUGAUGAAGAUCCCAUCUUAGCUUCGUACCGAUUGAUUACAACCAAGAAAGACUACAAGCUAAGGUGGACCCUGAUAUAUUGCAAUGCUAUCCAUGCCUUGGUUGCAAUUAAAGUGAUAGAGCUCAUGGAUGGAUGCGCAAUCUACAAGGCUUUGGAUUGGACAUAACAGUUUUAAGAAGCAAAGUCUGGCUGAAGACUUAAAACUUAGCGCUUCUCGGGAGGCAACCCAAGCAUUUAUCGAUUUUCGUAUUUUUAUUUAUUUUUAUUUUUCUUAGGAUUUUAGCAUGCGCAAACUAAUAAUUUAAUCUUGUUUUAAUUUUUAGGUCGAAAAUCAAACACUAAGGGAUCAGACGUUAAAUGUGGAUUAAACGAACAUCAAAGAGUGCAUCCCGGAGAAGGACCUUUCGACUAAUCAGGUGUAUUCUAUCCUUGAACUUUGUUCUAAUUGCAUUGAGGACAAUGUAAAUUUUAAGUUUGGGGGUGGAAAAUUACUUGUUUUUAUGUGCUUUAAUUUUUUAGUUUGCAUGCCUUAGGAUUUUAUCUUAUUUUUUUUCGUUUAUUUAUUGUUUUCUUAAAAAAAAAAAAAAAAAAAAAAAUUGCUUGAGUCGAACGCAUCGAUGAGUUAUGAUGAUGAGAGAUGAUCAAUGUUUAAUGAUGAAAUUGCUUGUUUUGUUGUGCUAAGGAUUAGAUGUUUGUUUAGCUUUCGAUUCAACGGAACUUAGAAACGAAUUAUUGCUAGGAAUCACACUUUGUGCAUUGUUUUGGUUGAAUGUUUUGUAUUUUAAAUUUGGAGUUAAUUUGUGUUAGAUCAUGAUAUGUUCGGUUUUAGACCUCACCUUAGGAAAUUUAUGAUACGAAGUAUUGAGUAGUGAGUGAUUUGGGAUAUGAUUUGGGCCUUCUUUGAUCCGUUUGAGCCUUUCAAGCCGACCUUUUUAUCGAAAUUUUCCUUAAAACCUUGAUUUGAGCCUCGGAGAAAAGGUGUUUUUUCUUUUAGCCAAUGUGUAUAAGGUAGAAUAGAUGGAGAUUCUUGAAAAAUUACCCCUUGGAGUUCGGUUGAAAAUUUUAAUAAGGUCCUUCUUCUUCCUCGAAAAAAAAAAAAAAGAGAAAAAAAGAAAAGAAGAAGAAAAAUAUAUAUGUGUCUAUUUUUCAAAAAAAAAAAAAAAAAAAAAAAAGAAGAAAAAAAAAAGAGAAGAAGAAGAGACUAGAAGGGAGAAGUAAGGACUAGUUGUUGAAUUGUUUUGAAAGCUCGAUCCAUUAUCUUAAGAGGAAAAGUGGAGACUUUUGAACUCUUAAGAAUCGAGUUUAUUAAAGUCCUUAGAGGUGACUUCAUUGUUUCAAACGCUUAUAUUUCAAAUUUUGGCGUAAUCACCUCAAUUCAAGAAGAAUAGCCACAUAUACCCAUAUUUCCUACCUCGAACCAAAAAGCCUAACAAUUGAAAGCCAAAAAGCCCCAAUGAUCCCAAUAGCUUAAUGUUCGAUAUAAGUAGAGUAAUAUAUUUUGGUGAGUAUUUGGAGUCAAACAUAUACAUGUAAGCAUAACUUUUUUCUAUCUUUAAUUUACAAAUAUUGGAUGCUUGAAGCAAUUGCAUGAUUUGUGGUUUUUGGCUAUGGUAAGUGACUAAGUGCUUUUGAAUUUUGAGCUUGCGAAUGCCUAUGAAUUUUCAUUAUAAUUACAAGUUCUGAAAACGUGAGGUUGGUCAUUAAUCUAUGUGAUAAGAUGCGGUAGUUGAGUUAUUUGCUUACGAUUAGAGAUUGCUUGAGGACAAGCAAAAGUUCAAGUUUGGGGGUGUGUUGAGUGUAGAUUUUACACUCAAUACGUUUACUUUACGUGGAUCUUUUGUUUAGAUUUAAUUAUAUUUGUGCUUUAAUUGAUUGAUUUUGUGUUUUAUAGGUGAAAAACGAGAAUUAGGUGUCCAUGAAGGAAAAAAGAUCAAAAAUAAAGGAAAAAGUUGUAAAUAAGGAAACAAAUCAAAUUGGAAGAAGGAAUCUCGCCACAGCUUUGACAGUGUCCACGAUUUCGAGCAUAUCUCUCUCAUACGAACUCCGAAUUAGGUGAUUUUGGCGGCAUUGGAAAGCUAAUUUCAAGGGCUACAAUUCUUAUUUACACAAUAUUCCAAAAUUCGGACUCCAACAUGGCGAAAAUCGAAUAACAAGUCCUGAUAGGGGGAAAGUGGCGGAAAUUGAUUCCUAUUAGGUUUCUACUACUUCCUUAUCAAGAAAAGCCUAUAAAAGCAACAUGUCUCU
rnacentral:lncRNA from 1 species